rnacentral:rRNA from 1 species
UACGGGGGGGGCAAGCGUUGUUCGGAAUUACUGGGCGUAAAGGCUCGUAGGCGGCCAACUAAGUCCGACGUGAAAUCCCCAGGCUUAACCUGGGAACUGCGUCGGAUACUGGAUGGCUUGAAUCCGGGAGAGGGAUGCGGAAUUCCAGGUGUAGCGGUGAAAUGCGUAGAUAUCUGGAGAACACCGGUGGCGAAGGCGGCAUCCUGGACCGGCAUUGACGCUGAUGAGCGAAAGCCAGGGGAGGCAAACGGG